UUCCGGUUGAUCCCGCCGGACCUGACUGCUAUCGGAUUGAUACUAAGCCAUGUGAGUCAUUGUAGCAAUACAAGGCAGACGGCUCAGUAACACGUAGUCAAUCUACCCUAUGGACGGGGAUAACCUCGGGAAACUGAGGAUAACACCCGAUAGAUCAUUAUUCCUGGAACGGUUUAUGGUCCAAAUGAUUCGUCGCCGUAGGAUGGGACUGCGGCCUAUCAGCUUGUUGGUGAGGUAAUGGCCCACCAAGGCUAUUACAGGUACGGGCUCUGAGAGGAGAAGCCAGGAGAUGGGUACUGAGACACGGACCCAGGCCCUAUGGGGCGCAGCAGGCGAGAAAACUUUGCAAUGUGCGCAAGCACGACAAGGUUAAUCCGAGUGUUUCCUGCUAAAGGAAUCUUUUGUUAGUUGUAAAACCACUAUCGAAUAAGGGGUGGGCAAGUUCUGGUGUCAGCCGCCGCGGUAAAACCAGCACCUCAAGUGGUCAGGAGGAUUAUUGGGCCUAAAGCAUCCGUAGCCUGUUCUAUAAGUUUCCGGUUAAAUCCAUUAGCUCAACUAAUGGGCCGCCGAAAAUACUGUAGAACUAGGGAGUGGGAGAGGUAGACGGUAUUCGGUAGGAAGGGGUAAAAUCCUUUGAUCUAUUGAGGACCACCUGUGGCGAAGGCGGUCUACCAGAACACGUUCGACGGUGAGGGAUGAAAGCUGGGGGAGCAAACCGGAUUAGAUACCCGGGUAGUCCCAGCUGUAAACGAUGCAGACUCGGUGAUGCGCUGGCUUGUGGCCAGUGCAGUGCCGCAGGGAAGCCGUUAAGUUUGCCGCCUGGGGAAGUACGUACGCAAGUAUGAACUUAAAGGAAUUGGCGGGGGAGCACCACAAGGGGUGAAGCCUGCGGUUCAAUUGGAUUCAACGCCGGG
rnacentral:rRNA from 1 species